AUGGCCACGGGAGGAGGAGUGGUGCUCAACCUGCGCGUGCCGUCGGCAUCAGCGGCGCCGGCGCGGCGGUGUGGGACGGCGUCGUCUUCGUCGGUGAGAUGCGGGAGCGCGCGCGGGGCGGCGCCGGCGAGGCCGGCGGGAGGGGGGCUGGAGGAGGACCACUACCGGACGCUGAGGCUGGCGCCGGGGGCCACCAGGGGCGAGGUCAAGAGGGCCUUCCAUCGCCACGCGCUGCAGUACCACCCGGACGUCGUGCGGCGAGACAGCUGCGACAACGCCCAAGAAAAUAGCAUCGACUUCGAGCGGAUCAACGCGGCGUACCAGAGGGUGAUGAGCAACAUGCGGGAGGCGGAGGUGAGGCUCGAGUACUGGCGCCGCCGCUACGGCCUCGCCGACGAGGACCUCGACCGCUACCGCCGCUACCUCAAGGACGACGACGAGGAUGACUGGUUCUCCGACUUCGGAAAUCUUCUUCCUUGCCGUGCCGUGACAGAGGCGUUGGCAAUCAUCACACUGUAA
rnacentral:rRNA from 1 species